rnacentral:lncRNA from 1 species
AAGCCUCUCUAUCCUCCUCUCCCUUUCCCCUUCUUCAAUUUCCAAUUUCGAAAACCUCAGAUUUCCACUAUGAUUUAACACCCAAUUCCAAAAACCCAACCUUUCCCAAAAAAUUUCCCCCUUUUUCUGUACAUUUAUACAGAGUCAACAAUACCCGUACUGAUAGAUUCAAAACCCAAUGGCGGCCGUCAGUUCCCUGUCUUUCCCGGCAAUCGGCCAAACUUCCGGCGACAGAAAACUUAAU